GGUAGAGAAUACCGAGGGGCGCGAGGUAACUCUCUCUAAGGAACUCGGCAAAAUGGCCCCGUAACUUCGGGAGAAGGGGUGCCAGCGAGGGCUGGUCGCAGUGAAGAGGCCCAGGCGACUGUUUACCAAAAACACAGGUCUCCGCUAAGUCGCAAGACGAUGUAUGGGGGCUGACGCCUGCCCAGUGCCGGAAGGUUAAGGAAGCUGGUCAGCGCAAGCGAAGCUAGCGACUGAAGCCCCGGUGAACGGCGGCCGUAACGAUAACGGUCCUAAGGUAGCGAAAUUCCUUGUCGGGUAAGUUCCGACCCGCACGAAAGGCGUAACGAUCUGGGCGCUGUCUCGGAGAGAGGCUCGGCGAAAUAGAAUUGUCUGUGAAGAUGCGGACUACGUGCACCCGGACAGAAAGACCCUAUGAAGCUUUACUGUAGCUUGGUAUUGUGCUCGGGCUCGAAAUGCGCAGGAUAGGUGGGAGGCUUGGAUCCAUUGCUUGCGGGUGAUGGUGAGCCACUGGUGAGAUACCACUCUUUCCGAGCUAGAGUUCUAACCCUCGCCCGUUAUCCGGGGAGGGGACAGUAUCAGGUGGGCAGUUUGACUGGGGCGGUCGCCUCCUAAAAGGUAACGGAGGCGUGCAAAGGUUCCCUCAGGCUGGUUGGAAAUCAGCCGACGAGUGCAAAGGCAGAAGGGAGCUUGACUGUGAGACCUACAAGUCGAACAGGGACGAAAGUCGGCCUUAGUGAUCCGACGGUUUUGCGUGGAAGGGCCGUCGCUCAACGGAUAAAAGUUACUCUAGGAUAACAGGCUGAUCUCCCCCAAGAGUUCACAUCGACGGGGAGGUUUGGCACCUCGAUGUCGGCUCAUCGCAACCUGGGGCUGAAGUCGGUCCCAAGGGUUGGGCUGUUCGCCCAUUAAAGCGGUACGCGAGCUGGGUUCAGAACGUCGUGAGACAGUUCGGUCCAUAUCCGGUGCACGCGCAGGAAUAUUGAGAGGAUUUCUCCCUAGUACGAGAGGACCGGGAGGAACGCACCUCUGGUGUGCCAGUUAUCGUGCCAACGGUAAACGCUGGGUAGCCAUGUGCGGAGAGGAUAACCGCUGAAAGCAUCUAAGUGGGAAGCCCACCUCAAGAUGAGUAUUCCCAUGGCAAAAGCCAGUAAGGUCACGGGAAGAUUACCCGUUGAUAGGCUCUACGUGGAAGCGCAGCAAUGCGUGAAGCGGAGGAGUACUAAUAGACC
rnacentral:rRNA from 1 species